GGAGGGGUGUGAGCGGCGGGGCGGGCGCGCAGGAGCGCAGGGUCGGGGAGGAGGAAGGAGAAGAGCGCGCCAGCGCGGAGGGAGGCUUGGGAGCUAGGCGCGGGCGGAGGGACGGGGUGCGGCGGUAGUAGAGGCGGCCGCGGGCUGAGGAGGCGACGGAGGAGAGGUGGCGGGACGCUUCCUGGACAUCUUUCGCCGUGCGGGACAGCCCUUCGCCCGCCGCGCGCGGCAGCGGGGUCCUACGCGCGCCUGUUGAGAGAGCACAACUGCGGGGGUGAGGGAGGCGAAGAGGAGCAGCGGAGGGGAGCGCGGUGGCAGUGGCAGGCUCUUCGUGGCGCCGGUGAUGAUGAGACGUAGCACGGCUCGAACGGUGGCGGCGGCGAGAGGGCCAGCUCGAGCAGGGAGUGGUGGCCGGGAGUUCAACACCUCCCCGUUGUCCGUCGCCACCUGCUCCUUUAGAUGGUGGUUGGCGGCGGCGUACAGAAGGACGAAGCGGUAGUUGCGCUCCUCGUGGCCUCGCACAGGAGUUCAACCACGAGGAGGCCCUUCUCCUGUUGGGCUCUAGACAGUACCUCCAGUUGGGACUGCAGCCGGAACAGCCUAACCUCGCCGUCACGCCACCAACCAGAUGACACCGCCGAGCGACCUCCGUCGUCGUUGGGUUAGCCGUGGCGGUAGAGGAAGGGAUAGGUACUCGGUUGGAGACAGAAGGAGGGGCUGCCGCCGCAGCUUGGUUGUGACCCAAUACGAUGGGAACCGGCACCGGAUUGUGCGCGCCUGACUUCGUAACCAGUCCGUGGGUGACGAACCGACGUGCAGACCCAGUAGAGUCUAUUCGAUUAGAUAGAGAAGAAAUUUUAUUCUAGUACACGAAGAGACUAGGCCAACAUCAUUCAACAUGUUCCGGAAUCGACCAACAGUCCUCCUUGGAAGUGGAGUACCGAUUUUGAACCCAUUUUGACACCCGUAUGUUUUAUGUAGAAACAAAAACAACGGAAUAUUUGUACCGACACUUUCUUGGCUUAUAACCUUUUGUUGACAUAUAGUUAAGAGUGAAUGAGACUAUAAAGACUUUCACUUUCCCUACUUCCUAUCACAUCACUCGUCUCUUGUGUGUCCAAUACAACUUUUAAAACCAGCUUCAAUGUCAGGUAAUCGACCAUCUUUAUAUCGUGUUGAUCGUACGGAUCUACGUGUGUUGCAACUACCAUUAUUCUAUACGAACCGUUGAUUGAUUGUUUUAGUCUAAUAAGUAAAGUAUUUACAUCUUUUUUUAUUCAUACCAGAAGUGUUGCACAGAAGAAGAUACUAAGCCAUUGAACGUAAGGUUAGAAUAAACAGAAGAAGAGUAACCCGUACCACAGAAAUCUAAUAGUUUCCCCUAACACAUACCGACAACUGUUAGGUCUAACACCCGUCGAUUCUCCAAUCCUAAUCAGUACAUUUAAAAACGAAUAUUUAUUAUAUUAUUGCGUCAUCAUCGGGGAGCAUGAUAAAAAACAGUUUUUACCACACUAUGAUUCUAAAAGUGAUGUCAUGGUAGACAUAGAUUACAUUGAGCCGAUAUCCAAUAGGCUUCAUUACUACAGAUAGUGAGACCAACUAAACGCUAUACCAUAAUACCCAGGUAUACGUGGACUCGAAACGAUGAAGGAGACUAAUGGUACUUGAGACAUGUGUACUCGUACGGAUACGGUAACAGUUCACGAUGAGGUUUGUGGUAAAUGACGAACUUUUAUAGAGAGUUGAACCUAUCUCGUAGGACAUUCCAGGUAUAAAUGAGUUGUACUAAAAAAAAUGAUACUCCUGGGAAUGAAGAUCGUGAUCCAAAACUAACAGACAACAAAACAUGUAGAAAAUGGUUAUACUAAAAUUAGAAAUUUUUUCUAGUAUAAGAUCUGAGUGUUGUUUAACCUAUCUCGUAGGACGUUCCAGACACUCCACGUCUACUAUAAAGUCACGAGUCACACGUCGAAUAAAACAUCUGUAGCGCCAAAGUCAAACGUUAUAAUCUGGAUGAACAUAGUUCCAUCCCAACUGGUAUUGACUUGAAGCUUAAACAAAUAUGUCAUAUGUAAUACGCGAAGUAGGUUAUUUUUAUACUUUACGUACACAACGAAACCGAGAGAAUUAUCGUUAAUUAACGCAUAUAAGUUGACCGGAAGACCAACUGAUCGUAUUUACCAGUAUAAGAUAAAAACUACACUCGAUAGGAGGAUAAGUACAGGACCUCCGAAACGAAGGGUCCAAAUAACGAAAACGUUAAAUUUCAAAACUUCGUGACGGAGUGUCAAAAAAUUAAUGAUAAUUGUAAUGUUUGACCCUAAGCUUAUAGUACCAAAAGGUGACCCUUUAUUAUCGUGUAAAUCGAAACAGACUGGAUAAAUAAUAGCUAAUUACAUUGUGAAAUGCUACAUCUACGACCGUUACCCGGCAAUCGAUGCGCGAAUAUCAAACGUCAAUACGUGUGGUCCAAGGAUACAUCCGAAUUGUACUUAAACAAAGAAUUGUACUUGUACGAAUAAAUACAACGUCUCCCCUUUUGAAGAGACAAGACAGGUGACGGAUGUAUGUUCGACGUACUGUUUCCCAUACACCUUCUGACCUAAACUAUAAUAGUACCUUACUAUCGAUAAUCGCACAAGGACCGAGAGCAAACGACAAUAAGGAAGUAUUAACGUUGUUUCCUACGUUUAGUUAUAGAACGAGACGGAUACGACACGUCACCGGAUUCACAACCUGGUGGCCCACCUAUCCCUUUCGCACAUUACACGGUCCCGCAUUAGACACAGCGACGAGGCGUAUCUCCUCGUGUGGUAGCUCUACCGGGUUUUACCUUUGUGGCAUCCGGUGUUGAGACCACCCCCGGAAGUACCAACGACUGCUGGUCUACGGUGGUACCAGAGGCUACAGCAGUACCGGGAACGGCGGUCGGGUGUUGUGUCACGGCUCGUCCCCCACACCGGCCGCCACCAGUAACUAUAGAAGUCGUCGCAGCCCACAACCGGUGAACGCGACCACCGAAAGAGGGCGAAAACCAUACUGACUAAUUGUCUUUUUUUUAGCACCGGUAACCAGUGGCGAAAAGUAGUUCUACUAAGACAUAGUAACAUUAUCACUCUGAAAUGAUGUGGGUAAGACAGCCAUCUUGUAAGAGAAUCCUCUAACAAAAUAAACAAAACCAACCCUAUAUGAUUUCCGACACAUGGAUACCUUUCUUUUUUCUGUGAAAGUUCAAAACAUACAUCAUGAACUACAUACAGAGUUCAUAUCGAAUAUUACUAGGAUGAGAAUCAUGAACGAGAGAGUACAAAUACGAGAAUCAUGACUUAAAUCAUAGUCCAUUAAUCGAAAACACUAGAGUACUUGUCUGACUUGAACUACGCCGGAAUAUUAGGGUACUGGUACAACUUUAACUACUACAGAACGAAGAGUAUGGUCACUUACAAAGAAGCAAGAGAACCUGGUCUAUUAAGUAACAGGACAACUUAUACUCGCGAUUUGAUACGAGGGAUGAUUUAAAAAAUUUCCACGAGGGAUGAUUAAACUAGUGAUAGAUAAAAUGGUGUAACUACGCUGUCCGUGGGGCGCGGUUCCGCGUGACAGCUAGAUCACCUAUCACUUAGGUCCUCGAGCUCUACGUUAGAGCACCGUAGAAAACACGACAUGAUGUGACGAGGUACUGAACCACCAGGCCUCUUCUCUCCUGUUGACGUGCUGCUACUACGUACGUUAACGUCGUUGGCGCGCCUCUGCUACGUGGCCCAGAAGUGUCGUCUUUCGAGAAAAAUGGCCACGACCAUACAUGGCUGUUUGGUAAGUGGCCAGUAAAACGAGCACUAAGCACAACACCACAUCAUGUUUCAACUCAGUAGAUAAAAUUUUACCUCCCUGAUAUUCUCACGUAAACACCGCCAAUUAGGAAACAUAUAUCAAUUUAGUUACAGUCUAAUUAUCCCGGGUGCAGUCAGGGAAAAUGUCACCUUACAUGUGUACGUACGUUGUAGAGAGGAGAGAGAGAUGGUUUGUUUAGGUACGUAAAAUAAAAACAAAUGUAAAAAUCUACGGGUUUUAAAAAUGUUGUUACGAAGUAACAAAUUAAAAAAGUAUAUAAGUUUAAGUACUUGUAUUCUAGAAAUCUUAUUCUGGUUAGAACUUAUAUAAAUUUGAUCAAAUUAAAAAUGAUAAAGUUAGUAUACUUUAUAAUUAAAGUGAAUAAAGUUUAAACUUAAAAGUUUUAUUAACUUUAGUCAAUAACUUUACUAACUUUGUUGAAAAGACUUGUAUCAAAAGAAUUCUACAACUUUGGUCAAACACACUUUAACUAAUUAAGUUUAUGUAACAUGUUUUUUUGAUACUUUAAACUCUAACAUUUAUACACUUUAACUUACAAAGUAACACACUUUAACUAAUUAGUCAAUACACUUUAACUCAAUAAACUUGUAAUAGUGUGUUAACUUACAAAGUAACACACUUUAUACACUUUAACUUACAAAGUAAUACACUUUAAAAUUUUAAAACAAAAAAGUUAACACGCUAAGAUUACACAAAAAAGACCUGGAUCACUUCACUCACUUUAGAUAGAAUACAUUACUGACAUUAAUCAAAAAAAUUUUGUUCACUUUAUAUCAUAAAGUUAACUCACUCACAUUACACAAAAUACUUUACUCACUUUACCCACUUUAUUCAAUAAACCUUUUUCACUUUAUAUGGAAAAACUACACUUUGCCGAAUAAAGUUACAAACUUUGACGAUAUCACUUUAUGCAAAGUUAUAUAAAAGCAUUUAUGCUUCACUUUAAUCAAAAACUCUAUAUGAAAAAUUACUCACUUUAGUAAAAAACUUAACACACUUUAUACAAAAAGUUUAUUAAAUUUAGUCAAGAAACGUAGCUCACUUUAGUUAAAGUUUUAUACAAAAGAGUUGACUUACUUUAAUAAAAGAAGUAUGUUUACUUUAUAGAAAGAAAUCUACUCACUUUAACCAAAGAACUUGUAUUUCUUUACUCAAAUAAAAAAACCUUAUUAACUUUAGUUGAAGGACUAUACCCGCUUUGACCAUAAAAUUUUGCUGAUUUUAGAUACAAAAUAUUACACAUUUUUAUACAACAGAGUUGACUCACUUUAUACAAAAGAGUUGACUCACUUGAAUGAUAAAACUUUAAACGCUUUGUCCUCCUUUGUUAAAACACUUUAUCGCUUUAUUAGAAUACCAAAUACUUUCACUAAGGUUUCUAUUGACUUUAUAUUUUUAAGUUUUCAACAAGUUUAUAUACCUUCUAACUAGAACAAAAUUUCCAGAACAGUCGUACUAAAGUUUAUAUAUUUUUCAAAGUUUUUAUCUGUCAACGAAAUUUUAUAUAGUUAGUAAGUUUUAUAUACCUACUUUAUUUUACGUAGAGUAAAUAUACCCCUCUCUCUUAGU
rnacentral:rRNA from 1 species